rnacentral:rRNA from 1 species
AGAGUUUGAUCCUGGCUCAGGAUGAACGCUGGCGGCGUGCUUAACACAUGCAAGUCGAACGUGAGGGCGUAGCAAUAUGCCUGAAAGUGGCGAACGGGUGAGUAACACGUGGGUGACCUGCCUCGGAGUGGGGGAUAACCAUGGGAAACUGUGGCUAAUACCGCAUGUCUUAACGGUCACGGGAGUGACGGUUAAGAAAGCUUUAGUGCUGUGAGAGGGGUCUGCGACCGAUUAGCUAGUUGGCGGGGUAAAGGCUCACCAAGGCGAUGAUCGGUAGCUGGUCUGAGAGGACGAUCAGCCACACGGGAACUGCGACACGGUCCCGACUCCUACGGGGGGCAGCAGUGAGGAAUAUUGGGCAAUGGGCGCAAGCCUGACCCAGCAACGCCGCGUGAAGGACGAAGGCCUUCGGGUUGUAAACUUCUUUUUGGGGGGAAAAGAGAGGAUGGUACCCCCAGAAUAAGUCACGGCUAACUACGUGCCAGCAGCCGCGGUAAUACGUAGGUGACGAGCGUUAUCCGGAAUUAUUGGGCGUAAAGCGCGCGCAGGCGGUCCUUUAAGUCUGAUGUGAAAGCCCACGGCUCAACCGUGGAGGGUCAUUGGAAACUGGGGGACUUGAGUGCAGGAGAGAAGAGUGGAAUUCCACGUGUAGCGGUGAAAUGCGUAGAGAUGUGGAGGAACACCAGUGGCGAAGGCGACUCUUUGGCCUGUAACUGACGCUGAGGCGCGAAAGCGUGGGGAGCAAACAAGAUUAGAUACCCUGGUAGUCCACGCCGUAAACGAUGAGUGCUAAGUGUUAGAGGGGUUCC